rnacentral:lncRNA from 1 species
AUCGUGAUGUCAUCAUGGCGUCAUCGUGGCGUUGUCAUGGAUGAUGGCGGUGUCAUCGAGGCGUCAUCGCGGCGCUGUUGUGAAGUUAUCGUGGCGUCAUCGGCGUCGUUGGGGCAUGUCGCGAUGUCAUCAUGACGCUAUUUUGGCAUAUUUGACAUCGUGAUGUCAUCAUGGUGUUGUCAUGGUGUUGUCAUGGAUGAUGGCGGCGUCUUCGCGGUGUCAUCGCGGCGCUGUUGUGAAGUUAUCGUGACGUCAUCAUGGAUGAUUUAUGAUGUCAUCGGGGCGUUGUCGCGAUAUCAUCAUGACACCAUUGCGGCGUUAUCGCGACACCGUUGUGGCGCCAUCAUGAUGUCAUCAUGUUGUCAUCGUGGCGUUGUCAUGGAUGAUGGCGGCGUCUUCGGGGCAUCAUCGCGAUGUCAUCAUGACACCAUCGCGGCGUUAUCGCGACACCGUUGUGGCGCCAUCGUGAUGUCAUCAUGGUGUCACCAUGGAUGAUGGUGACGUCAUCGCCGUGUCAUUGCGAUGCCAUCACGACACCAUCGUGACGUUAUCGUGACGUCAUCGCAGUGUCAUCGCGACACGAUCAUGGCGUCACUGGGACACCGUCACGGUGCCACCGUGGCAUCAUCAUGGCUGAUCGCGACGUCACCGCGG